rnacentral:rRNA from 1 species
AGAACGAACGCUGGCGGCAGGCCUAAUACAUGCAAGUCGAACGCACUCUUCGGAGUGAGUGGCAGACGGGUGAGUAACGCGUGGGAACCUUCCCAAUGGUACGGAAUAACUCCGGGAAACCGGUGCUAAUACCGUAUAAGCCCCUCGGGGGAAAGAUUUAUCGCCAUUGGAUGGGCCCGCGUCGGAUUAGCUAGUUGGUAAGGUAAUGGCUUACCAAGGCUACGAUCCGUAGCUGGUCUGAGAGGAUGAUCAGCCACACUGGGACUGAGACACGGCCCAGACUCCUACGGGAGGCAGCAGUAGGGAAUCUUGGACAAUGGGCGAAAGCCUGAUCCAGCCAUGCCGCGUGAGUGAAGAAGGCCUUAGGGUUGUAAAGCUCUUUUGGCGGGGACGUAAUGACGGUACCCGCAGAAUAAGCCCCGGCUAACUUCGUGCCAGCAGCCGC